rnacentral:rRNA from 1 species
GAUGAACGCUGGCGGCGUGCUUAACACAUGCAAGUCGAACGAUGAAGCCCAGCUUGCUGGGUGGAUUAGUGGCGAACGGGUGAGUAACACGUGAGUAACCUGCCCUUAACUCUGGGAUAAGCCUGGGAAACUGGGUCUAAUACCGGAUAGGAGCGUCCACCGCAUGGUGGGUCUUGGAAAGAUUUAUCGGUUUUGGAUGGACUCGCGGCCUAUCAGCUUGUUGGUGAGGUAAUGGCUCACCAAGGCGACGACGGGUAGCCGGCCUGAGAGGGUGACCGGCCACACUGGGACUGAGACACGGCCCAGACUCCUACGGGAGGCAGCAGUGGGGAAUAUUGCACAAUGGGCGCAAGCCUGAUGCAGCGACGCCGCGUGAGGGAUGACGGCCUUCGGGUUGUAAACCUCUUUCAGUAGGGAAGAAGCGAAAGUGACGGUACCUGCAGAAGAAGCACCGGCUAACUACGUG